GUCAGAAAUGCAGAUUUUAUAUUGUCUGACAUGGAUCAGAUCAUUGUGUAUUGUAUAAUUAUUAUGUAAGAUAUUUUAAUAUAUUUGACAUGGGUCAUCACAUAAUUGAUAACUUUCAAUUAUAUCCAUAACAAAUAGAGAACAUAUAUACCUUUAAUACAUCUUGUAUGUUAGGUUAUGCAUUAGAUAAUGUAUAUUGUGCUACUGCCCGGUUUAGGACUAGCUACUGGACAUGAGUAGUGUUAGGGUAUACCUUGACAAGUGACUUGUGACAUGGACCGAUACGAUUGGUUGGAUUCCAUCUGGUAAAGCAUGUUUUUAGCUGUGAGCUGUAAGUCAGGCAGUUGUACAUUAGAUACCCGGGUAUGGUGGUAUGAAGAAGGUAAAAGAGACAAGCACAUAUUGAAGUAUUUUGGUUGAGAAUUGAAUCCCAGAGAAUUGACCAGGAAACAUAUAAUCAAAGAACCUAUGUG